UUCUGUAAGCCGUUGAAGGUGUGUUGUAAAGCAUGCUGGAGGUAUCAGAAGUGCGAAUGCUGACAUGAGUAACGACAAGGGGGGUGAAAAACCUCCCCGCCGGAAGACCAAGGGUUCCUGUCCAACGUUAAUCGGGGCAGGGUAAGUCGACCCCUAAGGCGAGGCUGAAAAGCGUAGUCGAUGGGAAACGGGUUAAUAUUCCCGUACUUCUUACAAUUGCGAUGGGGGGACGGAGAAGGCUAGGUGGGCCUGGCGACGGUUGUCCAGGUUCAAGUGCGUAGGCUGAGUGUUUAGGUAAAUCCGGACACUCUUAAGGCUGAGACACGACGUCGAGCUACUACGGUAGUGAAGUCAUUGAUGCCAUGCUUCCAGGAAAAGCCUCUAAGCUUCAGAUUGUAAGGAAUCGUACCCCAAACCGACACAGGUGGUCGGGUAGAGAAUACCAAGGCGCUUGAGAGAACUCGGGUGAAGGAACUAGGCAAAAUGGUACCGUAACUUCGGGAGAAGGUACGCUCUUGAUGGUGAAGUCCCUUGCGGAUGGAGCUGACGAGAGUCGCAGAUACCAGGUGGCUGCAACUGUUUAUUAAAAACACAGCACUGUGCAAAAUCGUAAGAUGACGUAUACGGUGUGACGCCUGCCCGGUGCCGGAAGGUUAAUUGAUGGGGUUAGCGUAAGCGAAGCUCUUGAUCGAAGCCCCGGUAAACGGCGGCCGUAACUAUAACGGUCCUAAGGUAGCGAAAUUCCUUGUCGGGUAAGUUCCGACCUGCACGAAUGGCGUAAUGAUGGCCACGCUGUCUCCACCCGAGACUCAGUGAAAUUGAAAUCGCUGUGAAGAUGCAGUGUACCCGCGGCUAGACGGAAAGACCCCGUGAACCUUUACUACAGCUUGGCACUGAACAUUGAACCUACAUGUGUAGGAUAGGUGGGAGGCUUUGAAGACGUGACGCCAGUUGCGUUGGAGCCGUCCUUGAAAUACCACCCUUGU
rnacentral:rRNA from 1 species